AUGGUUAGGAGUGUACCGAUUGGUGAGAAGCUCUUCAUAGGAGGAGACCUCAAUGGCCACGUGGGUACAUCUAACACAGUUUUUGAAGGGGCGCAUGGGGGCUUUGGCUAUGGCAUCAGGAAUCAAGAAGGAGAAGAUGUCUUAAGCUUUGCUCUAGCCUACAACAUGAUUGUAGCUAACACCCUGUUUAGAAAGAGAGAAUCACAUCUGGUGACUUUUAGUAGUGGCCAACACUCUAGCCAGAUUGAUUUCAUCCUCUCGAGAAGAGAAGAUAGGCGUGCGUGCCUAGACUAUAAGGUGAUACCUGGGGAGAGUGUUGUACCCCAGCAUAAGCUGGUGGUUGCUGACUUCCGCUUUCGGAUUCGUGUCCAGCGGGAUAAGCGUGCCAAGGUCGCUAGAACGAAGUGGUGGAAGCUCAAGGGGGAGGUAGCUCAGGUGUUCAAGGAGAGGGUAUUUAAGGAGGGCCCUUGGGAGGAAGGAGGGGAUGCGGAUAAUGUGUGGAUGAAGAUGGCGACUUGCAUUCGUAAGGUGGCCUCGGAGGAGUUUGGAGUGUCCAGGGGAAGGAGAAGCGAAGAUAAGGAUACCUGGUGGUGGAAUGAUGAUGUCCAGAAGGCGCUUAAAGAGAAGAAAGAUUGCUUCAGACGCCUAUACCUGGAUAGGAGUGCAGACAACAUAGAGAAGUACAAGAUGGCGAAGAAGGCCGCAAAGCGAGCUGUUGGUGAAGCAAGGGGUCGGGCAUAUGAGGACCUCUACCAACGGUUAGGCACGAAGGAAGGUGAAAGGGACAUCUAUAAGAUGGCUAAGAUCCGAGAGAGGAAGAUGAGGGAUAUUGGCCAAGUCAAAUGCAUCAAGGACGGAGCAGACCAACUCUUGGUGAAGGACGAAGAGAUUAAGCAUAGAUGGCGGGAGUACUUCGACAAGCUGUUCAAUGGGGAGAAUGAGAGUUCUACCAUUGAACUGAAUGACUCCUUUGAUGAGACCAGCAUGCGUUUUUGCAGCGCAUCCAGGAGUCUGAGGUGA
rnacentral:rRNA from 1 species